UACGGAGGAGGCAAGCGUUAUCCGGAAUUAUUGGGCGUAAAGCGUCCGCAGGUGGCACUUCAAGUCUGCUGUCAAAGACCGGGGCUUAACCCCAGAAAGGCAGUGGAAACUGAAGUGCUAGAGUGCAGUAGGGGUAGAGGGAAUUCCUGGUGUAGCGGUGAAAUGCGUAGAGAUCAGGAAGAACAUCGGUGGCGAAGGCGCUCUGCUGGACCAUAACUGACACUCAGGGACGAAAGCUAGGGGAGCGAAUGGG
rnacentral:rRNA from 1 species